rnacentral:lncRNA from 1 species
UCCACAUGAAUGCACCAGCUGAGAGUGUCAGGGAUGUGGUUGCCGGAUACCCAAAGAUACCCCCAACCACGCCCACUGUACAUGCUGCAGCUCGUCGUACUGCCACUGUAUACUAAGUAAUCUCUCGGUCUUAAAAUAAACCAAUUUUUUAUUUUUAUCUAUAAUUUUUGACUUUUCGUCUUAUUUAAUUUUUUAUGUGAAUUAUAUUUUUUAUUAGAUGAUAAAUCAUGAGUAGUACUUUACGUGUUUAUUUUUAUUAGAUGAUAAAUCAUAAAUAGUAUUUUACGUGUGACUAAUUUUUUUAAUUUCCUAAAAAUUUUUCAAAUAAAACAGAUGAUAAAACGUUGCACACGAAAAUCGAAGAAUUGGUUUUUUUAACAGAGGGGUACUCCUAGACAGCAAGAUUGGCAAAUGGCAGCAGCAUUGCAUUUGCCUUUCUUUCUUUUUUAUUUUUUCCCCUUUCUAUUACACUGCACAUCUACACUUUGGUCAUUUGCUCAUCUUUGGUUUGUGGUGGUUUGGUUGUUGGCUGUAGGAGCAGCAGCAAGAGCAGUGAAACGGGAGUAAUAAAGGUUUGCAGCAGGAUCCACACUGGCUUCCUUUGCUCUCCUGUUUGUGCUGCUGCAUCUCUCGUCUCUCUGACAGAGAAGCACAGGGCGUGGCUGUCUGUCACUGUGGUCUGGGUCUGGGUCUGGGCAAUUUUCUUUUUU